UACGAAGGGAGCUAGCGUUGCUCGGAAUCACUGGGCGUAAAGCGCACGUAGGCGGAUCUUUAAGUCAGGGGUGAAAUCCCAAGGCUCAACCUUGGAACUGCCUUUGAUACUGGGGAUCUCGAGUCCGGAAGAGGUUGGUGGAACUCCGAGUGUAGAGGUGAAAUUCGUAGAUAUUCGGAAGAACACCAGUGGCGAAGGCGGCCAACUGGUCCGGCACUGACGCUGAGGUGCGAAAGCGUGGGGAGCAAACAGG
rnacentral:rRNA from 1 species